rnacentral:misc_RNA from 1 species
AAAAAUGAAGGAGGAAAUGAUUGGUAAGCUGAAUAGACAAUUUUGGUGUCUUAUUUGCCUGUUUUUGUUUCUCAAUCUUGGAGGGGAAAUCUACAGUUUUUUUUAGAAAUAUAUCUCGAAGUCAUUGUUUAUGCUUUUGUCAUGCCUCCUGUUCUGCCCUUUUAUUUAUUAUGAUAAAUACUCAAGUUCAAAGAGAUAUGCAAUUUACAAUAGAGGAAGUUGAUAAAAUGUAUGUUUUAGGCUUAAGUAACUAUAAUCACCUCAAAUUUUCUCAAGAAUUGGGGGCAACACUGGAGGAGGUAGCAACUAAGACCUGUACUUUAGAAGUCAAUAAACUGCUAAAUAAUCCUUGUGUGUAAUUAGCAUGCU